rnacentral:rRNA from 1 species
CCCUUAGAUGUCCUGGGCCGCACGCGCGCUACACUGAGUGUCUGAGAUACGAGUCUGCCUGGUCCGGCAAGGUCUAGGUAAUCGCUAAAAGACACAUCAUGCUUGGGAUAGAUUAUUGCAAAUAUUAAUCUUGAACGAGGAAUUCCUAGUAAGCGCAAGUCAACAGCUUGCGUUGAUUACGUCCCUGUCCUUUGUACACACCGCCCGUCGCUACUACUGAUUGGAUGUUUAAGCGAGGUUCUCGAACUGCUAGCGACUUAGCUUCGGUGAGGUCGCAGUGUGGGAAGUGAACCUAGCUUUGGUGUCUAGAGGAAGUAAAAGUCGUAACA